AGUAUUUUGACUAUACAAAGGUAUUGAAAUAAGACUUUAAUUGAGUGCUAAGAGAAUGGAAUUUCAUAAAAUUUCUUUUUUAAUUUUAAAAAUUGAAAUUAAUUUUAUAUGUGAAGAAACAAUAAUAAAAAUUAAGGACAAGAAGACCCUAAGAAUUUUAAAAAUUUCAAUAAAAUAUAGCAUUUUAUUGAAAUUUUUAAUUGGGGCGAUUAUUAAAUAUUAAAAACUUUAAUUUUUUAAAAAAGAACCAAUAAUAUUGGUUAUUUGAAAAAAUACUCUAGGGAUAACAGCGUAAUAAUUUUUGAUAGUUCUUAUAGACAAAAUAGUUUGCGACCUCGAUGUUGGAUUAGGAUUCUUUUUUAAUGAAGAAGUUAAAAAAAGAAGUUUGUUCAACUUUUAAAAUCCU
rnacentral:rRNA from 1 species